UACGUAGGGACCGAGCGUUGUCCGGAUUCAUUGGGCGUAAAGAGCUCGUAGGCGGCUGUUCAAGUCGAACGUGAAAACUCGGAGCUCAACUCCGAGCCUGCGUUCGAUACUGGACGGCUAGAGUCUGGUAGGGGGAUCUGGAAUUCCUGGUGUAGCGGUGGAAUGCGCAGAUAUCAGGAGGAACACCAGUGGCGAAGGCGGCGACCUGGGCCAAUAUUGACGCUGAGGUGCGAAAGCGUGGGAGCAAACAGG
rnacentral:rRNA from 1 species